ensembl:snRNA U4 U4 spliceosomal RNA
AUCAUAGCCAAUUGCAGUAUUGCAGCCAAUGAGGUUUAUCCGAGGCACGAUUAUUGCUAAUUGAAAACUUUUCCCAAUACCCUGCCAUGACGGCUUAAAAUAUAGUCAGCAUUGGCAAUUUUUGACAGUCCCUACGGAGA